rnacentral:rRNA from 1 species
AUUGAACGCUGGCGGCAGGCCUAACACAUGCAAGUCGAACGAUUGGCGGACGUGUGAGUAAUGUCUGGGACACUGCCUGAUGGAGGGGGUUAACUACUGGAACCGUUAGCUAAUCCCGCAUACCAUCGGAUGUGCCCAGAUGGGCUUAGCUAGUAGGUGGGGUAACGGCUCACCUAGGCGACGAUCCCUAGCUGGUCUGAGCGGGUGACGAGCCACACUGGAAAUGAGACAGGGUCAAGACUCCUACGGGAGGCAGCAGUGGGGAAUAUUGGACAAUGGGCGAAAGCUGGAUGCAGCCAUGCGGCGUGUAGGAAGAAGUCCUUCGGGUUGUAAAGUACUUUCAGCGGGGAGGCGUUACCCGAAGAAGAAGCACCGGCUAACUCCGUGCCAGCAGCCGCGGUAAUAC